rnacentral:lncRNA from 1 species
CAGCUGGACUCAGUUUAGAUGAUCCCAAUUUUGUUGGCAACAUCCAAAACAUCAUAGUCGGGAGCCAGUCGAACGUAUGUUUCCUUUUCUCCAUCAGGCCUGAUCAGAGUGUUGACCUUGGCCACGCCAAUAUCGUAGAGCUUCUUCACGGCCUGUCUGAUCUGGUGCGUGUUGGCCUUGGCACCCACGAUGAAACAAGUGUGUUGUGUCUUCCAUCUUCUUCUUCACGGCUGACUCGGUAGUCAGGGGGAGCUUGGUGAUGGCAUCGCGGUCAAGCUUGUUUCUCCGGAGGCUGCCCUUCCCAGGAUAUUUGGGCUGCCUUUGGAGACGCAGUGUUUUGGGCCGCCGGAAUGUAGGUGACGUGCAGAUCUUCUUCUUCUUCUUUCUUUAUGACUGUGGACACCUUUCAGCACUGCUUUCUUGGCCUUCAAAGCCUUUGCUUUGGCUUUGGCUUUGGGAGGGGCAGGGGCUUCCUUCUUCGCCAUC